CCUUCUGGCGUUUGAUCUGAUGUCUUUUGAUUUGAUGUUGGAAAUAUCAGCGUGAAUGCUAACUGAACCAGGACUUUAUAACAGUCAACCAAAACUAAUGUAUAAUUUUAUAUUUAGAACCAAACCACAAAUGUGAAAACACCCUGAGUGAUCUUUAAGUGCUGUUUCGUCGCCCCAAGCUUUGUUUGUAUUCAUUUCUAGUUUCUAUUGCUUCUCCUUAUCUGCUCUACACAUGACAUUUACAUGAACAGAACUCAAGGAGUUUCUUUUUCUCAGAAUAGACCAGAAACUUCAGCAGAUGUUCAACUUCCUUCAGUCGAACUCAGUGAAGCACGACACACAGCACUGAAUCUACAGCUAAUCCCAUCACACUCAUCAUCACUAUUAACUCAAAUAAAUGAACCAACAACGUCCAGCAUCAAGACAGUGAAGAGACGAAGAAGACAGAAAUAUAGACAUUGUGUCUAUACAGAUAAACUCCUCCACCUUUUUUCCCCUUUACUGAGGGUCACGGUGCUGGAGCGACUGUAACUGUCUUUCUUUUGCGAUGGUUAGAACCUCUGUACUUCACCUCUGAGCCAUCCACUGGAUCUUCCAGCAAGAAGAACAAAGAUCCUCCAAAGCUGCAACAAAAUAAUUGGAAGAAAAACAAAGUGGACGUAUUGCAAUGUCACCGAAUACUAGGCAUAUCCAUUUGACUCAAAGGAUUCUGAGGAAGUCAAUCAAAGCUAAAAUAAAUCUGUAUUAAAUCUCCUAGCUAUUAUUUUACAGUGGCCUUGCAUGCGAAUAAUGUAGAUGCCCUAACUGCAAUAACACAGGGAAAGUACAAUAACACAAAACAUCCGUAGCUGAAUUUCGCAUUUACCCCAUACAUUGUGUGUAAACGCUUGAAAAUCUUAUUUGAAUAUAAUUCCUUAUUGAAUGUUCAUGUCAUUAAAUCUUUAUUAUGCCAAAAAUAAUUGAUCAAUAAGGCGUUUACACGGAAGACCAUCUUACUAGUAAAGGUAAUGUGAGAAAGAUUCAAUUAAUUGGUUUUGUUUUAAAAGAUGACCGUUCAUGAAGAGUCUGGUGGCACCACCAAAAAGUGGACCACAGUGAUACAAUCUAAUGAAACUGUCAUACAAAUUCAUUGCAGUGUACCGUAUACAUACACACACAUUUUUCAUUUAUACCCAGGGAUAGGGGGAGAUGUAGUUACGUUGUUGGACUAUCAAUAGGAAGGUUAAGUCACCAGACCAGAACCAACCCCAGAACCAACAAGCUGCCACUAUGAGAUAAACAUAAAUCACUCUGGAUAAGGGCGUCUCCCAAAAGCCAUGAAUGUAAAUGUGGCCCCAUGCUUCAGUGCUCUGGGAGGGUUUAAAUCCCUGUGACUUUAACACUUCAUGACUGAGAUCUGCUGCUCAGCAACUUCACCCACAGCAACCAUGACUCUGAUCAGCGUCUUCAUCUGCACACUGGCCCUCUGGACUCAAGGAUCCAGAGGACAGGAGACCGUGACUCAAACUCCUUCAGUGCAAACUGUUGUUCCAGGAAGCAAAGUCGCCAUCAACUGUAGAAGCAGUAACCGGGUGGAGAGUGGUACCAGUCUAAUGUGGUACCUGCAGAAACCUGGAGAAGUUCCUAAACUCCUGAUCUAUGAAACUACAAGAUUACACACCGGAACUCCAGCUCGUUUCAAUGGCAGUGGAUCUGAUAGCGACUUCACUCUGACCAUUAAUGGAGUCCAAUCUGAAGAUGCAGGAGAUUAUUACUGUAAGGCUGAGCAUGGGAGCAGUGGUAACUGGGUGUUACACAGUGUUAGAGCAUCGUACAAAAACCUGGGUCAGUGAGACAGAACAGAGAAGCACUGCUGCAGCUGGGGGCGACUGCAGGUGCUGUGGGAAGGAUGUGAUACAGCACAAUGUCACAAUGAAUGAGAAACACACAACACUAACUCACUAAUGCACACACAUCAAUGAGAGGAGUUCACCUUCCUUAGCUGUGGAUCAUUUUUAGUAAACAAAGUAAUAGUGGACAUGAGACAGGAUUUCUUCAUAAACUUCUCACUCUUAGAGUCCGGCUUGAAGAUACAGGAGAUCAGUAUGAACUCUACAUUCAACACUCUACAUUAACUUCCUCAACUUCAGAGGAAAUUCUGCACACACACACAC